rnacentral:rRNA from 1 species
UACGUAGGUGGCAAGCGUUAUCCGGAUUUAUUGGGCGUAAAGCGAGCGCAGGCGGUUGCUUAGGUCUGAUGUGAAAGCCUUCGGCUUAACCGAAGAAGUGCAUCGGAAACCGGGCGACUUGAGUGCAGAAGAGGACAGUGGAACUCCAUGUGUAGCGGUGAAAUGCGUAGAGAUCGGGAGGAACACCAGUGGCGAAGGCGGCCUGCUGGGCUUUAACUGACGCUGAAGCACGAAAGCGUGGGUAGCAAACAGG